rnacentral:rRNA from 1 species
AGAGUUUGAUCAUGGCUCAGGACGAACGCUGGCGGCGUGCCUAACACAUGCAAGUUGAGCGACGAACCAGGGCUUGCCCUGGGGCAAAGCAGCGAACGGGUGAGUAACACGUGGGUAACCUGCCCCGAUAACCGGGACAACCCGAGGAAACUCGGGCUAAUACCGGAUGUGCUCGUCAGACCCAAGUCUGACGCGUAAAGGAAGCUUCGGCCUCCGUAUCGGGAGGGGCCCGCGGCCCAUUAGUUAGUUGGUGAGGUAACGGCUCACCAAGACCGCGAUGGGUAGCUGGUCUGAGAGGACGAUCAGCCACACUGGGACUGAGACACGGCCCAGACUCCUACGGGAGGCAGCAGUGGGGAAUCUUGCGCAAUGCGCGAAAGCGUGACGCAGCAACGCCGCGUGGGGGAAGAAGGCCUUCGGGUUGUAAACCCCUUUCAGGAGGGACGAAGGUAUGGCGGUGAAUAGCCGACCGUACUGACGGUACCUCCACAAGAAGCCCCGGCUAACUACGUGCCAGCAGCCGCGGUAAUACGUAGGGGGCUAGCGUUGUCCGGAAUCAUUGGGCGUAAAGCGCGCGUAGGCGGCCCGGUAAGUCCGCUCUGAAAGUCCAGGGCUCAACCCUGGAAAGCGGGUGGAUACUGCCGGGCUAGAAUCCGGAAGAGGCGAGUGGAAUUCCUGGUGUAGCGGUGGAAUGCGCAGAUAUCAGGAGGAACACCAAUAGCGAAGGCAGCUCGCUGGGACGGUAUUGACGCUAAGGCGCGAAAGCGUGGGGAGCAAACAGGAUUAGAUACCCUAGUAGUCC